GUGGGGAAUAUUGGACAAUGGGCGAAAGCCUGAUCCAGCAAUGCCGCGUGAGUGAUGAAGGCCCUAGGGUUGUAAAGCUCUUUUACCCGGGAUGAUAAUGACAGUACCGGGAGAAUAAGCUCCGGCUAACUUCGUGCCAGCAGCCGCGGUAAUACGAGGGGAGCUAGCGUUGUUCGGAAUUACUGGGCGUAAAGCGCGCGUAGGCGGUUUUUUAAGUCAGAGGUGAAAGCCCGGGGCUCAACCCCGGAAUUGCCUUUGAAACUGGAAAACUAGAAUCUUGGAGAGGUCAGUGGAAUUCCGAGUGUAGAGGUGAAAUUCGUAGAUAUUCGGAAGAACACCAGUGGCGAAGGCGACUGACUGGACAAGUAUUGACGCUGAGGUGCGAAAGCGUGGGGAGCAAACAGGAUUAGAUACCCGUGUAGUCC
rnacentral:rRNA from 1 species